rnacentral:lncRNA from 1 species
GUACAGCAUGGACAGGGAGUUCUUCUCAAAAGCUGGGCAUAGUGGCCAAUACCUGGGGACAGGAGCCUUAUCCACAAAGCAAGUUCCAGGCCACGCUGGACUUAUUUUAAAAGUAAAAAAUGCACAUACUAAGUGCAGAAUUUCAGAAAACACCAUCUGUGCUAACUCGAAUGCUCUGCGAAGGCAGAUCUUCUGAGCAGAUCAUAUCACUGUGCUAGCCUCACAUGGCUUAGGGGGAGCGAGCGGAGAUUUUCCCAUCAUUCCCAUGGAUCUGCCCUAGGCAUGAGGUUGAUUGUACAUUGUAGAGCUGCCUUGUGGGAUAUUUUAAUAGAUAGUCCUAUAAAGCAUGAUCAUAUAAUUUAAUCAAAGGAAGAAUGUUUCUACCUGGGUACUAGACUUUCUAUUAAGUUUGAAAAAUAAUGGGUUCUUUAGUGUUUUUAAUGGUCAUCUGGGCUAUGCAUCAUUUCUUAUCAGCAGCUUGCUUUUAAUUACUGCAACCUUGCUGUGGGUUGUCCUAUAUGGGAGCAUGCUAGUAGAAGCCACUGAGCUGUUCCUCUGGCUCUCCAGCCCUCACAAGUGACUUCUCAGCAGAUGAUAACCCAAUGCUAAACCCAAAGUAAUAAGUUAACUAACUACAAAAUGAUUUUUUUCCAGGACUAUAGUGCAUAGUUUAACGUAUGUUACCCGUAAUUAAUAACUGUUUCUAUGACAGCAGGCUGUUUAUUUGAAUAGCACAAAGCCACAUUGGUUUCUUUGCUGUGUGUUUCCCACUAGAUGCCCUUCCCGGUGCCCUCACAGGUGGGGAAGGUUUCCAGAACUAAGGUCUGUAACUCCAGCAGCUUGACCUGCAGCUGCAAGUGCCCCUGCUUAGCCAUGUCCUGUGUGUGCUUUUGACUUUGUGCUCAGAAUGGCCAUCAGUCAGCCAUCCAUCCUGCAGCGUAUAGCUGUGCCUUUUGUCCCAUCAGUCAGCCAUCCAUCCUACAGCGUAUAGCUGUGCCUUUUGUCCCAUCAGAAGAAUGUUGAGCUUUGGAUUUGCUCCAAAUCUAAGACAUGGCUGUCACAGGAUGAGCUCUCAGUGUGGAGCCCUCAGAUAAGAUGCUGUAUUGUUCCAUUUUUUCUUUGGGUAAACCCCUCCCAGUGUUCCACUCUCCUCAGUACAUUUGCCUGUCACUGGCUCAUCAGUAUCCUGGUCUCAGAAGAGGACCAGGGCACCAGCAACACAGAAAAUUAGGCAUCCCUGUGUUUUGUGCUUUAAUUUUUAAUUUUGUAUCCUAAGUGCAAGGUAACUGCAUGGAGCUUCUUAAUUGAUGUCUAAAGCUCUCAGCCCCUCCAAACUUCCCAGAUAAUCCUCCCCUGAGGUCCCUUUAUGCCCUUUGCAUCCAGCAUGCUUACAUUUUGCUUUCCUAAGCUGUAUGAGCUUUUAAAAGACACAUGGAGGCUCACCUGAACAUACAUUUGGGCAUUUAUUGGGCAGCAAAAGGCUCCCAUGGGGUACAGUUGCUUUAUUCAGUGCCCUUGGCCUUCUAUAAGAUAUAUAGUGUAAGUGUUCACAGCUUAGUUCAAGCUUGAAAUGGUGGAGGACACAGACAUUCAUCCGCUUUCCUCAGGACCUGGUAGUUAAUCCGUUAGUUGAGUGACUAAACCUUAGGUAAGGCUGAGCCUUUUAACACUUUAAUACUUAGGACACCAAAAUUUUCCUCAGUUCUUUUAUCUAGAUUAGAGAACUCUGCAAACCAGAAAUACUCCUGUUUUGUAAUACCAUGGACACCCACACCCAUAGUAUUGCCAUACAUGUGUGUUUAUUGCCAAAAGAUUGUCUUAAUUGAUUUAUCAGUCACUAUACUUUAUAGUGAGGUGAAAUUUUACAUUUAAAAAUUAUCUAAGGUGUCACCUGGUUUUUUAAAUCUUUGCUAAAAAUUUUCUUAGCCCAAGAAAUCCAGGGUCCCUGUAAUUUCCUUUAUAUUGUAGCAUUAACCUGAAGUAUCUUAAGGCCCCCAGCCUACACACACUUGGAAAUGUAUAGAAGGCCAGCAUGUGGAAUUUAGGAACCUCCUAGCAUGGAUCCUGCUGUUAGUGGCUCUUCUUAGAUAGAGUCCUCGGAUUUUCAGAUAAAGUAGGCAGCACAGCCGUUUAUUGUGGCUCUAACUUGGGAAACUUUGGAAAGAUUCCUGAAAACAGCUCACCAUUUGCAUCAUUUAACUUAAAGCUUCAGGCGUUAGGAAUGAGUGAACACUUGUGGGCAGGGCACACUGCCAAGCUGACUUGGUAGCUCGCUCCCCUCUUCCAAGCUCAGUCUCAGAGCUCUGGAGAAGAGGAAUUCUGGACCAUCCUAAAUGUCAGGCUCUCAUUGUAACUGUAGAGCAGUAGAAGUUUAGCAAAGAGUAUUCUAAUUUAAACAUUUUAUUAAAUGAUUUAGAUGUAUGACCUGCCAUAUUCAGUAAGAACUGAAAUUGGAAUGAUUAAUGGUAAGGAAAAGGCAACUGAUUGGCCAAAGCAUUUUUGCUACUUUAUGAUCGUAUUUGUGUACUAAUGGCUGCCACUAACCAAGUCACCCUAACCUUGCCUGCCCGCACCCCUACUAAUAGUGCAUGUACUAAGGAGAGCUCGCUGUGUCCAUGCCUGCUCCUCAUUGCUCACGGACUUUAACAGGUGGUCACUGGGCUGGCCUUGGUACUCCUUCAUUUGCAUUCCUUCCUCUUCUAGCAGGCUUGAGAUGUAGUAGACAGGGCAUGUGCUAUAGCAUGGGGAAGGCACAACCUGGUUGAUGUGUCAAGGGCCCACAUUAGGCACAACGAGUAAAGGGAUUAAAUCAGAUGAAAUAAGAAAGGCUCUAACGGCCCAUAAUAGCAGGGGGUGAGCGAACGACAGUUAUCUGUUACCAUGUUACAUGCCAAACUAGGCCUUGUAGGACCCAGAGAGAGACAAGAGGUCACAGGCACCACUUAGGUAUUCAGAUCUUUAUUUUCUAGUUGCAGAAGUCUGCUUCUAGCCUGCCUUUAAAGGCUGUCUCGCCCUGUUUUCUGAAGGCAGGGAAGUACGAGAUCUCACUUGCCCUGUGUGACUUUUAUCCCAGCAUUAGGCUUUUCCGUUGCAUUCAGUGCCAUCACCCACAUAGGAAUAUAGACCCACUGUUUCAUCAGGUACCUGUGCUGUUACUACUUGUAGCUGGACAUUUACUGGGUUUCUGCUUCUAAUUGCAGUUUCAUAUGUAGAUGGCAUAUUCAUCGGAAGUCAGACAUUCAGUGAGAUUGAAUCCUGUCUUUUUUAGCUAGAGCAGUGGUUCUCAACCUGUGAAUUGCAGCACC